rnacentral:rRNA from 1 species
AAAAGAAAUCAACCGAGAUUCCCCCAGUAGCGGCGAGCGAACGGGGAGGAGCCCAGAGCCUGAAUCAGUGUGUGUGUUAGUGGAAGCGUCUGGAAAGGCGCGCGAUACAGGGUGACAGCCCCGUACACAAAAAUGCACAUAUUGUGAGCUCGAUGAGUAGGGCGGGACACGUGGUAUCCUGUCUGAAUAUGGGGGGACCAUCCUCCAAGGCUAAAUACUCCUGACUGACCGAUAGUGAACCAGUACCGUGAGGGAAAGGCGAAAAGAACCCCGGCGAGGGGAGUGAAAAAGAACCUGAAACCGUGUACGUACAAGCAGUGGGAGCCUCUUUUAUGGGGUGACUGCGUACCUUUUGUAUAAUGGGUCAGCGACUUAUAUUCUGUAGCAAGGUUAACCGAAUAGGGGAGCCGAAGGGAAACCGAGUCUUAACUGGGCGUUAAGUUGCAGGGUAUAGACCCGAAACCCGGUGAUCUAGCCAUGGGCAGGUUGAAGGUUGGGUAACACUAACUGGAGGACCGAACCGACUAAUGUUGAAAAAUUAGCGGAUGACUUGUGGCUGGGGGUGAAAGGCCAAUCAAACCGGGAGAUAGCUGGUUCUCCCCGAAAGCUAUUUAGGUAGCGCCUCGUGAAUUCAUCUCCGGGGGUAGAGCACUGUUUCGGCAAGGGGGUCAUCCCGACUUACCAACCCGAUGCAAACUGCGAAUACCGGAGAAUGUUAUCACGGGAGACACACGGCGGGUGCUAACGUCCGUCGUGAAGAGGGAAACAACCCAGACCGCCAGCUAAGGUCCCAAAGUCAUGGUUAAGUGGGAAACGAUGUGGGAAGGCCCAGACAGCCAGGAUGUUGGCUUAGAAGCAGCCAUCAUUUAAAGAAAGCGUAAUAGCUCACUGGUCGAGUCGGCCUGCGCGGAAGAUG